CCCUUAGAUGUCCUGGGCCGCACGCGUGCUACACUGAUGCAUACAGCGAGCACUUUCCGGCCCCGAAAGGCGGCUGGUAAUCAGCAAUAUGCAUCGUGAUGGGGAUAGAUCUUUGGAAUUCUUGAUCUUGAACGAGGAAUGCCUAGUAGGCGCACGUCAUUACCGUGCGUCGAUUAAGUCCCUGCCCUUUGUACACACCGCCCGUCGCUCCUACCGAUUCGAGUGAUCCGGUGAGCCUUUUGGACCGAGGAAGCUUGCUUCUUUGGAAAAUCAAGCAAACCACGUCACUUAGAGGAAGGAGAAGUCGUAACA
rnacentral:rRNA from 1 species